UACGGGGGGAGCAAGCGUUGUUCGGAAUUACUGGGCGUAAAGCGCGCGUAGGCGGACCUGCAAGUCGGGGGUGAAAGCCCGAGGCUCAACCUCGGAACUGCCUUCGAUACUGCGGGUCUCGAGUCCGGGAGAGGUGAGUGGAAUUCCUAGUGUAGAGGUGAAAUUCGUAGAUAUUAGGAAGAACACCAGUGGCGAAGGCGGCUCACUGGCCCGGUGCUGACGCUGAGGCGCGAAAGCGUGGGGAGCGAACAGG
rnacentral:rRNA from 1 species